rnacentral:rRNA from 1 species
AUGUACAUACCUACAACAUAGCAUUAAUUCAUUGGAUCCCACUAGAACUUCGUAGUUAAGCACACUCAGGCUAGAGUAGUACUAGGAUGGGCAACUUCCUGGGAAGUCCUAUUAUUUUACAUG